UGAUGAAGGUUUUCGGAUCGUAAAGCUCUGUUGUUAGGGAAGAACAAGUGCCGUUCAAAUAGGGCGGCACCUUGACGGUACCUAACCAGAAAGCCACGGCUAACUACGUGCCAGCAGCCGCGGUAAUACGUAGGUGGCAAGCGUUGUCCGGAAUUAUUGGGCGUAAAGGGCUCGCAGGCGGUUUCUUAAGUCUGAUGUGAAAGCCCCCGGCUCAACCGGGGAGGGUCAUUGGAAACUGGGGAACUUGAGUGCAGAAGAGGAGAGUGGAAUUCCACGUGUAGCGGUGAAAUGCGUAGAGAUGUGGAGGAACACCAGUGGCGAAGGCGACUCUCUGGUCUGUAACUGACGCUGAGGAGCGAAAGCGUGGGGAGCGAACAGGAUUAGAUACCCUGGUAGUCCACGCCGUAAACGAUGAGUGCUAAGUGUUAGGGGGUUUCCGCCCCUUAGUGCUGCAGCUAACGCAUUAAGCACUCCGCCGGGGGAGA
rnacentral:rRNA from 1 species